GCUUAUAUCAGCAGAACAUAUACAAAAAUUGAAAUGAUACAGUGAAGAGUAGCAUGGCCCUUGCUCAAGGAUGACAAGUAAAUUUGUGAAGCAAUCCAUAUUUUU